GGAUGUAGCUCAGAGGCAGGGUGCCUGCCUGGCAAGCACGAGGUUGUGAGUUCAAUUCUCAAUGUCC
rnacentral:tRNA from 1 species